AUAUGAAGGCGGGCUGGAACCUCUCGGGGGUUACAGCCUUGCUGAAUUAUUCACCCUUGUCUUUUGCGUACUUCUUGUUUCCUUGGUGGGUUCGCCCACCACUAGGACAAACAUAAACCUUUUGUAAUUGCAAUCAGCGUCAGUAACAAAUUAAUAAUUACAACUUUCAACAACGGAUCUCUUGGUUCUGGCAUCGAUGAAGAACGCAGCGAAAUGCGAUAAGUAGUGUGAAUUGCAGAAUUCAGUGAAUCAUCGAAUCUUUGAACGCACAUUGCGCCCUUUGGUAUUCCAAAGGGCAUGCCUGUUCGAGCGUCAUUUGUACCCUCAAGCUUUGCUUGGUGUUGGGCGUCUUGUCUCUAGCUUUGCUGGAGACUCGCCUUAAAGUAAUUGGCAGCCGGCCUACUGGUUUCGGAGCGCAGCACAAGUCGCACUCUCUAUCAGCAAAGGUCUAGCAUCCAUUAAGCCUUUUUUCAACUUUUGACCUCGGAUCAGGUAG
rnacentral:rRNA from 1 species